AGCGGUACAAAAUGGAUGGAUGGAUGGAAUGUUUUGUCAUUAACAUGAGAGCAUGAGGAAAAUACAAGUGUCCACUCUGUCGUUGAAAUACCAUAUAAACACUAAUUAACAUAUUAAAAAUAAAAACAUAAAUGCCAGUACGAACAGUAGAAAAUGGUGUAAGCUAUUGGAUAGGAUAAGAUAAACUUAAUUUAUCCCACAAAUGGGAAAUUACGUGGUUGCAGUUCAGAUACAAAAAGUCCACUUAAAAUGAGGUACAAACAUACAAAAACAAUAGGGAAAAGUUAAAAAAAACAUAAAAUACAUUAAAAGAGAACAGAGCUGACGUGACCAGCUGCCACUUCAUCCAUCCAUCCAUCAAUUUUCUACCGCUUAUUCCCUUUGGGGUCGCGUGGGGUUCUGGUGCCUAUCUCAGCUACAUUCACCAGCGCCAUUUCUACAUACAGCUACACAUACACUGUGGUGGCCUCGGCAGUGCUGGGGAAGCACGGCCAGAGACCUGAACAGACCCAACAAAGCAACCAAGAGAGCUGACUCCGUCCUCGGCUGCCCACUAGCUUUCAGCGAAUGUCUGCGUGGAUAAGCGAGAAUCCAUCCCAGGACUUAGUGAGGCUUGUCCAUAACAGCGCUCAACGACAGCGCUGCACCCGAGUCUCUUCUUUCGCAUCUCCCCUGAUCUCUCCACGCAAACUGCGGUGUGGAAGCGAGCUGGUCUCAGUUGCUAAGAAGGCCAUGACCAAAAGGUUUCCCCGAGGCCAAUCCAAAAGUUCACAAAAAAGUACCACAAAAGUGCCACCCCUGGUUGCGCAGUCCCAGAGGGGCCAGAACCAAAAGGCAAUCAACACAUGAAAACUAAAGGGAAACAUCAAGAACACAAAGGACAUAAAAGAGUACAGAGCUCCUGCAACCAGCAGCCACUUCAGCAGUGCUAUUUUGAAAUAAAAUAAUUGGGGAAGAUUCAAUAUCCUAAUGGUCCUGAUUUUAUCCAAAUGGUAAAAAACAGUUUUUACUCUGUUUGUUGUGGUCUUGUGUGACCUAAAUCUCUUCCCUGAUGGCAGCAGCUUGAACAGGUGCUGACCAGAGUGAGAGCUGUCUGCCAGGAUAUUCUUUGUCAAUGCAACGCUAUCGAGCAGUGUUCAGCUAGGGAGGGCAGAGGGCGGCCGAUAAUCUUCUCCGCUGUCCUGGUCACUCUUUGCAGGCCCUUCCUGUCUGCAGCGGAGCAAGCAGCAAACCACACAGUUACGCAGGACAAAAGCUCUGGUUCUAGGGUGGCACGCUAGAAGGAUACCUGCAUGCAGUUUGUCCUCAAGUUGGCUCCUCCGCAGCACACGGAGCAAGUGGAGUCUCUGCUGUGCCUUACUGACCAGUGCUUAAGUGUUGGCAGUUCGUGUGAGGUCCUCCGAAAUUCAUGUGAUUUUGGCUCCUAAAAUCCAUGACCAUCUCCUUAUCUUUUUGGCGCUCAGCCCAUUGUUGUUCUUGGUCCACCACCCUGCCAAAGCCUCUAUUUUACUCUUUGUAGGCCACUGUGGUGUUGUCGGUGAACUUGAUGGUGGUGUUCGAGCGAUGAUAGGGAACCCAGUCAUACCUACAUUAUUAAGUAGUGACACACAAAGGUAUGACAGCCACACCAUUGGGUUUGAAGAAGCUGAUUCAUGCAAGACGUUCCCGGUGUGACCCUCAAAAGCUUGCCUAGGAUCCCAGCCUGCAGGAGUUGGAAAAAUAUUGCCGUUCCCUUGCAGAGAAUACACAGAAUUUAUUACGCAGUACUCAACAGUCACCAGCAGUUCUUGUGGCCCAGCAGGGUGGAUCCCUCCCAGGUCUCUGCUUUUUGCAGAUGAUGUGGUCCUGAUGGCUUCAUCUGACCGGGAUCUUCAGCUCUCGCUGGAUCGGUUCGCAGCCGAGUGUGAAGCGACCGGGAAUGAGAAUCAGCACCUCCAAGUCCGAGUCCAUGGUUCUCGCCCGGAAAAGGGUGGAAUGCCAUCUCCGGGUUGGGGAGGAGACCCUGCCCCAAGUGGAGGAGUUCAAGUACCUAGGAGUCUUGUUCACGAGUGAGGGAAGAGUGGAUCGUGAGAUCGACAGGCGGAUCGUUGCGGCGUCUUCAGUAAUGCGGACGUUGUACUGAUCCGUUGUGGUGAAGAAGGAGCUGAGCCGGAAGGCAAAGCUCUCAAUUUACCGGUCGAUCUACAUUCCCAUCCUCACCUAUGGUCAUGAGCUUUGGGUCAUGACCGAAAGGAUAAGAUCACGGGUACAAGCGGCCGAAAUGAGUUUCCUCCGCCGUGUGGCGGGGCUCUCCCUUAGAGAUAGGGUGAGAAGCUCUGCCAUCCGGGAGGAACUCAAAGUAAAGCCGCUGUUCCUUCACAUCGAGAGGAGCCAGAUGAGGUGGUUCGGGCAUCUGGUCAGGACACCUAGGGAGGUGUUUAGGGCACGUCCAACCGGUAGGAGGCCACGGGGAAGACCCAGGACACGUUGGGAAGACUAUGUCUCCCGGCUGGCCUGGGAACGCCUCGGGAUCCCCCGGGAAGAGCUAGACGAAGUGGCUGGGGAGAGGGAAGUCUGGGUUUCCCUGCUUAGGCUGUUGCCCCCGCGACUCGACCUCGGAUAAGCGGAAGAUGAUGGAUGGAUGGAUGGACUUUCACUUCAGUCGUUAGACCAUGUACUAGGGAUGUGUGUUGUUCACAUAUGUAUAUAUAAU